rnacentral:rRNA from 1 species
GGCUCCUCGUAGUAUACCAAAUAGGGAGUCGGACCUGCCCGGCGAAAUUUUUUAACGGCCGCGGUACUCUGACCGUGCAAAGGUAGCAUAAUCAUUUGCCUUAUAACUGAAGGCUAGUAUGAAUGGUUUGACAAGAGUGUAACUGUCUCUUUACAAUUAAUUAGAAUUUUAUUUUUAGGUGAAGAAGCCUAUAUAAAAUUGAAAGACAAGAAGACCCUAUCGAGCUUGAAAAGAAUUAAUAAAUUUAAUUUUAAACAAAGCAUUAAUUUUAUUUAUUAAAAAAUUUUAGUUGGGGCGACUGAGGAACAAAUAAAGCUUCCUUUAUUCUAUAAACUAAACUGACGGGUUUUGAUCCAAAAUUUUUGAUUAAAGAAAUUAGUUACCGUAGGGAUAACAGCAUUAUCCUCUUCAAGAGUUCUUAUCGAAAAGGGGGUUUGUGACCUCGAUGUUGGACCAGAAUAUCCUAAAGAUGCAGCCGUCUUUAAGGGUUGGUCUGUUCGACCAUUAAAAUUCUACGUGAUCUGAGUUCAGACCGGCGUGAGCCAGGUCAGUUUCUAUCUUCAAUUUUAUUAAUAAACUUAGUACGAAAGGACCAGAUUAUUGCAAAAUAUAUUGUUAAUCUAUAGAUAAAAUAUAAUUAACUUAUUAAAAUUUAAGUUUAAUGUGCUUAGUGUAUCAAAUUAGCAAAGAUAAUGCAAUUGACUUAGGAUCAAUAGACAUAGGUGAAACCCCUUUAUUUGAUAGAUGUAUUUUAUAGAAUAUAAAUAAAGAUGGCAGAAUGAA